UCUUUUAAUCCCUAUUUCUACCAGCAAUCCUUUUUCUACAAGUAGGCCCUACUCGUCAGCUGAAGCUCAGUCAUAAGAGAGUGAUGACUAAAUGACAACCAGCAGAUGAUGUGUCUCCUAAUGAUCCUAUGGGAAGUAAGCAAACUGGACUAAACAGGAGACUUCCUGUGGACACACGGAUGUCCCACCCGGGUAAAAUCCUCUUUGUGCACGUGGUGCCUACUCCACUGGCACUGUCUUCCCAGAGGAGCUCCUGGAGACCUAAAUCAGGCCUCUAAAGGUUAACCUGCGGGAAGGUGGAGGAUGCCGGGAGGGAAUGAUCACCCAGCUGGUCUGAGGCUGGUGACGUGGGCUGGUAACCUGAGAGCCUGUUGCACAGCUUCUGUGCCUGGAGUUGCUGUGGGAUCAGAAGGAGCUGGCUGGCUCUGUCCUGGUUUAUGCAGUGCCCAGUCCCCUCGGCCGCGCUGCCCUCCUGAGCGGGAGCCUUUUGGCUGUGUCUGAAUUCAAUGUGCAGCGCCUGCUCCCACUGACUCACUGACUGCACGGUGCUAUUCUGCACUGCCCUGCCUGGAUUAUUCGGGAAUAUCUGGGAACAUGUGUUCCUGAACUGUCUGUUAUCAGCAAGUCCAAGAGCUGGGAAGCCCUAGGAAGCUUUCACUGUACUCCAUUUAUUUUUCCAUUCCCUCCCACACACCCUACCACUACACCAGGCAACAACACAGGAUACAGUAAAAUGGUUCCUAGAAACAUGUCAUCACUGUCAGUAAGGCUUUUUAAAUUCCUGUUUUAAAAUAUCCCAAACUACAACUUGGUUUCAAACAGUACCUUCACAGAGGUGCUUAUCCCACAGGAUGACUUGGAGAACCCAUCUGAUUUCAAAUAAAUUCAUGGCUUUCAGAAGGAACAAUUUCCUUUGUUAUCCCA